CCUACGGGGGGCAGCAGUGGGGAAUAUUGGGCAAUGGGCGGAAGCCUGAUCCAGCAACGCCGCGUGAAGGAAGAAGGCUUUCGGGUUGUAAACUUCUUUUGUCAGGGAGGAGUAGAAGACGGUACCUGACGAAUAUGCCACGGCUAACUACGUGCCAGCAGCCGCGGUAAUACGUAGGUGGCAAGCGUUGUCCGGAUGUACUGGGUGUAAAGGGCGUGUAGCCGGGUUGACAAGUCAGAUGUGAAAGCCUGCGGCUUAACCGUAGAACUGCAUUUGAAACUGUUGAUCUUGAGUACUGGAGAGGCAGACAGAAUUCCUAGUGUAGCGGUGAAAUGCGUAGAGAUUAGGAGGAACACCAGUGGCGAAGGCGGUCUGCUGGACAGCAACUGACGGUGAGGCGCGAAAGCGUGGGGAGCAAACAGGAUUAGAUACCCGUGUAGUC
rnacentral:rRNA from 1 species